CGGUUCCAUAAGCCUGAGAGGAAUCGUCUGAAGCUAGGCUCCUGCCUGCCGCUAGGGGUCAGGCCGUACGGUUUGGGACGAGUUUUAGUCAUUUUCCAGUUUCCCUACUGAUUGCGGGCUUCACACACACGGGAUAUCAGCCAACUCUAUGAGGCUGCAUGAACACCAUAUGCAUCGAUAUAGCCAGCAUCAUCAACGAUGAUUUUCCAAAUAUUUAUGACAUUUACUAUUAUUUCUAAACUGAUUAAUGGUUUGAAUAGUACGUGAAAUAAAUUUAGCUUUGAGAAAAGGUACAAUUGAAUGUUAUUCCAUUGAAUUUUAAUCUUUAAAAUUAAACAAAAUGUACCACAUCUCCAAAUGUGAGUCGCUGAAUCCUAGCCGAAUUCAAUAUAGACACAUCACGUGA